rnacentral:ncRNA from 1 species
CGAAGUCUGCCUCGGGAUGGCUGGUGCCCAGAGUCUCGCAGUUUUAUCUGGUAAAGCGAAUGAUUAAAGGUCUCUGGGCUGAAACAAUCUCAAACUUUUAAAUGGGUAAGAAGCCCGGCGCUCUGGCUUGGAGCUGGGCAUUGAGUGUGUGACGUCUAAUGGACCACUUUUGGUAACCAGAACUGGCACUGUGGGCUCUUUUAUUCGAGACAUGGAUUAGUAUAAUUUAUAUAAUAAUCAUGUAG